AUGAGGCGGAGCCGGCGAGGCAGGGGACCACGAGUCCGGCGGCCUCCCAUGAGGCGGAGCCGGCGAGGCAGGCGACCACGAGUCCGGCGGCCUCCCAUGAGGCGGAGCCGGCGAGGCAGGGGACCACGAGUCCGGCGGCCUCCCAUGAGGCGGAGCCGGCGAGGCAGGGGACCACGAGUCCGGCGGCCUCCCAUGAGGCGGAGCCGGCGAGGCAGGCGGGAAGACCUCCGGCGAAGAGGGCUCAGGCGAGACAGGCGGGAAGACCUCCGGCGAAGAGGGCUCAGGCGAGACAGGCGGGAAGACCUCCGGCGAAGAGGGCUCAGGCGAGGCAGGCGGGAAGACCUCCGGCGAAGAGGGCUCAGACGAGGCAGGCGGGAAGACCUCCGGCGAAGAGGGCUCAGACGAGGCAGGCGGGAAGACCUCCGGCGAAGAGGGCUCCGACGAGGCAGACGGGAAGACCUCCGGCGAAGAGGGCUCCGACGAGGCAGACGGGAAGACCUCCGGCGAAGAGGGCUCAGAAGGGACAGGAGAGCUGGGAGUUGGCGGCCUGGUGCGGGGAGCCGGCACUGGCGGCGACGUUGGCGGCCUGGUGCGGGGAGCCGGCACUGGCGGCGACGUUGGCGGCCUGGUGCGGGGAGCCGGCACUGGCGGCGACGUUGGCGGCCUGGUGCGGGGAGCCGGCACUGGCGGCGACGUUGGCGGCCUGGUGCGGGGAGCCGGCACUGGCGGCGACGUUGGCGGCCUGGUGCGGGGAGCCGGCACUGGCGGCGACGUUGGCGGCCUGGUGCGGGGAGCCGGCACUGGCGGCGACGUUGGCGGCCUGGUGCGGGGAGCCGGCACUGGCGGCGACGUUGGCGGCCUGGUGCGGGGAGCCGGGACCGGCGGCGGCCUGGUGCGGGGAGCCGGGACCGGCGGCGGCCUGGUGCGGGGAGCCGGGACCGGCGGCGGCCUGGUGCGGGGAGCCGGGACCGGCGGCGGCCUGGUGCGGGGAGCCGGGACCGGCGGCGGCCUGGUGCGGGGAGCCGGGACUGGCGGCUGGGCAGGCGGCUGCCUGGUGCGGGGAGCCGAGACUGGCGGCUGGGCAGGCGGCUGCCUGGUGCGGGGAGCCGAGACUGGCGGCUGGGCAGGCGGCUGCCUGGUGCGGGGAGCCGAGACUGGCGGCUGGGCAGGCGGCUGCCUGGUGCGGGGAGCCGAGACUUGCGGCUGGGCAGGCGGCUGCCUGGUGCGGGGAGCCGAGACUGGCGGCUGGGCAGGCGGCUGCCUGGUGCGGGGAGCCGAGACUGGCGGCUGGGCAGGCGGCUGCCUGGUGCGGGGAGCCGAGACUGGCGGCUGGGCAGGCGGCUGCCUGGUGCGGGGAGCCGGGACUGGCGGCUGGGCAGGCGGCGGCCGGGUGCGGGGAGCCGGGACUGGCGGCUGGGCAGGAACGCUAGCCUGGGAGCUAGGAGACACAGGAACGCUAGCCUGGGAGCUAGGAGACACAGGAACGCUAGCCUGGGAGCUAGGAGACACAGGAACGCUAGCCUGGGAGCUAGGAGACACAGGAACGCUAGCCUGGGAGCUAGGAGACACAGGAACGCUAGCCUGGACGCUAGGAGAUACAGGAAUGCUAGCCUGGACGCUAGGAGAUACAGGGACGCUAGCCUGGAAGCUAGGAGACACAGGAACGCUAGCCUGAACGCUAGGAGAUACAGGGACGCUAGCCUGGAAGCUAGGGGACUGGCGGGGUUGGCCCUUUCUUUUGGACCGACCUCUACUUCGUUGUAG
rnacentral:lncRNA from 1 species